rnacentral:rRNA from 1 species
AGACGGAGGGUCCUAGCGUUGUUCGGAAUAACUGGGCGUAAAGGGUACGUAGGCGGUUUGGUCAGUUAGAUGUGAAAGCCCAGGGCUCAACCUUGGAACUGCAUUUAAUACUGCCAGACUUGAGAUCGGUAGAGGAAAGCGGAAUUCCUAGUGUAGAGGUGAAAUUCGUAGAUAUUAGGAGGAACAUCAGAGGCGAAGGCGGCUUUCUGGUCCGAUACUGACGCUGAGGUACGAAAGCGUGGGGAGCAAACAGGAUUAGAAACCCUAGUAGUCC